rnacentral:rRNA from 1 species
GACGAACGCUGGCGGCGUGCUUAACACAUGCAAGUCGAGCGGUAAGGCCCUUUCGGGGGUACACGAGCGGCGAACGGGUGAGUAACACGUGGGUGACCUGCCCUUAGCUCUGGGAUAAGCCUGGGAAACUGGGUCUAAUACCGGAUAUGACUCCAUGACGCAUGUUGUGGGGUGGAAAGCCUUGUGCGGCUAGGGAUGGGCCCGCGGCCUAUCAGCUUGUUGGUGGGGUGAUGGCCUACCAAGGCGACGACGGGUAGCCGGCCUGAGAGGGCGACCGGCCACACUGGGACUGAGAGACGGCCCAGACUCCUACGGGAGGCAGCAGUGGGGAAUCUUGCGCAAUGGGCGAAAGCCUGACGCAGCGACGCCGCGUGCGGGAGGACGGCCUCGGUCGUAACGACU